CCCUGCCUCACAGCGCCCCUCACUGCCCCAUCUCCCAGGGCUUACAGUCCCCACCCCCUGCAUCGCCCAGCGCCUGAGAGGCUGGGCUCCGGGUACCUCCCAAGAGACAAGAGGUGUGUCCCACGCCCUGUGCAGUGAGAAGCCCUGGAACUCCAGGACCCUGCUUUUUUAGGCAGAAUGCUAUGGAUGGGCCACUCCAAAGAGAAACGCGGCUGGGGCCUUCUCACUGGGGUUGCAGGCCGUGGGAUGGUGUGAACACUCCAUGUUUAUUCACAUCUUGGACCCCCCAACCCCCCCAAGGGAGGGGUGGCCUUGUCUUUGCAAGAAGGCUUCUGAGUCCUUAGAGGUGAAGCUGUGUCCUCAUUCCACUCCCCACUGAUACCCAAGCCAACAAGGAGAUGCCCUGACCCACUCAUGGCCAAGGACACUCAUGGAAAAGGCCUUCGUCCUCUCAGUACAGACUGUGCCAGGCAGGCCAGGAAAAGCCAAGAAAAUAUGGAUGGAACAGAUAGGUUCCUAGCAAAAUACUAAAGCUGAGCCAAAGUAGAAAACUUGAAUUAACUAAUUGCCAA
rnacentral:lncRNA from 10 species